rnacentral:lncRNA from 1 species
GUUUGAGACCCAGCGUCUCUAGAUCUCGUAUUUGAAUUUGUGGCGCUUGGUGUCCGCGAGUUGCCGAAUGAAGCUGAGCGUCUCAGUGGAACCAGGGAUCUCAGGGAGGGGAAGGUAUAAAAUUUUCAAAUGGAGGAGUAUACCUGAACCUAAUCAUGGAUGUGAUUUUAUAUACAGAUAAGCUGAUUCUAAAACUUACAAGAAUGGCAAAGAAACAAGAAGAGCUUAAACUGCAAUCAUCAACAGAGAAGCUUUCUGCAACCAAAGUGAAGACUGAAGCCUUAGGCUAUGGCAGAAGUUGGGCGCCUGAAGUACACGUGGAAAUAUGCCAACUGAACAUUGGACUACCACGUCAAGGGUCUCCUACCCCUGGGCCAUGGAUCAAUACCAGUCUGUGACCUGUUAGGAACCGGUAGCAGGAGCGCCUGCCCCUGGCUCAGCGCCCGGUGCCAACAGAACACCUUUCAGGAUCCACAGCAACGCAGACAACUCCAGAAUCCCGGCCUCUGCUUGGAACGGAACAGUGU